rnacentral:rRNA from 1 species
AUGGGGAAGCGGAAAAGCUCAUCCCGCCGCUCGGCGGCGGUAAACUCGGACGAAUCGGAAGAUGGGGAUACGCGAUGGAUCAUCUCGCCGCUUGGCCCCGACGCGUCUCGACCGCCCGCCCAAUCCCGUACCGGGUGCCCGUGUCAGUGCCACCAGCAGGGGACAAAGCGGAAGGCCCCGGGUGCCUCUCGGAGGCGUCGCAACCAGCCGGAUAACAGCACAAAUGUCAUCCGCGUGUACUAUGGCCAUAGAGAACAACGCACGCUAAGUCUAAAUGAUCGCUUAUCUUUCUACAGAGGACAUAAUUUCAGUGGAUUCGGACACGUAGUGGUCGAGCUGCCGCAGCCGCGGCCUAUGACAUUGGUGGAUCUGCACCUCUGGAUCUUGAAAUUGUUCCGGCUCCACCCGGAAACACAAGAUCUCAGCAUCACAGGGUUCUUCAAAGAAUACACCCCUGACACUUACUCAGACCCUCACUUUCUGGACCAAAUCCUGGACUGGGAUAUCCGGUUUUUCACCACAGACAGAGAUUGGAGUUCCUUUGUUAAUAAAAUGAAGAGGAAGAAUGUGCAGCAGAAGUUCAAGCUGUUCGUCGACUGCUCUGAACUCAAGCACUACGAUGUUCUGCUCAAAGCAGUCCAUGAGGAUUACACACCACCAUCGACGGUUGUUCUGCCGGAGACGAAAUGUCUGUUAAUUGAUGACCCUGAUCAUCACUUCCACCUUGUUGAAGACUGGACAAUGACCCCUCAGGAAAUCGUAGUAUAUCUUGCUGACAACUACGACAAGCAGAUCAGGCUUGCUGAGGCGUGGAGAGCAAAACUGAAGGUGUUGGAGACUGCAUUUGGGACCUUUUUUCAUUCAUACGACUCUGUCCCAGGGUUGCUUCAGGAUAUAGCAUGCAACCCUGGUGGUUUUGUUGACAUCAAGGAUACAGAGGUUGUUGGCUGUGAGGAUUUCAGAGUUCUCCAUCGUAUCUUUUGGGCGUUUGCGCCUUGCAUACAUGCCUUCCGUUGCUGUCGCCCUGUGCUUUGUGUUAAGGGCACACCACUCUGGGAAAUAUCAAGGAAUGCUGCUCACUGCUGUAGCACUAGAUGCUAA